rnacentral:lncRNA from 10 species
GGUGUUAUGCUGUAGUGACACAAUGGGCAUAUGACUCACUUUGGGAAUGACAGCAGCUCCUUACCCAACACAAGACGUGAAACAAGGGCAGUGACUGCUGACUGGAGGUGAUGAAAAUGAAGAUGGUAUUGUGGGCUCUGAUUCUAGGAAAUGUCCAUAGAUGCAGAUAAGGCUGCUUAAUUCUGAUGUAAGGAAGAGACAAUGAAUUAAUUCACCCCAGGGACCUUUGUGU